GAUGAACGCUGGCGGCGUGCCUAAUACAUGCAAGUCGAGCGAACAGAUGAGGAGCUUGCUCCUCUGACGUUAGCGGCGGACGGGUGAGUAACACGUGGAUAACCUACCUAUAAGACUGGGAUAACUUCGGGAAACCGGAGCUAAUACCGGAUAAUAUAUUGAACCGCAUGGUUCAAUAGUGAAAGACGGUUUUGCUGUCACUUAUAGAUGGAUCCGCGCCGCAUUAGCUAGUUGGUAAGGUAACGGCUUACCCAGGCAACGAUGCGUAGCCGACCUGAGAGGGUGAUAGGACACACUGGAACUGAGACACGGUGCAGACUCCUACGGGAGGCAGCAGUAGGGAAUCUUCCGCAAUGGGCGAAAGCUUGACGGAGCAACGCCGCGUGAGUGAUGAAGGUCUUCGGAUCGUAAAACUCUGUUAUUAGGGAAGAACAAAUGUGUAAGUAACUAUGCACGUCUUGACGGUACCUAAUCAGAAAGCCACGGCUAACUACGUG
rnacentral:rRNA from 1 species